rnacentral:rRNA from 1 species
UACAGAGACUGCGAGCGUUAUUCGGAUUCACUGGGCGUAAAGGGUGCGCAGGUGGCUAAGUGCGUUAGGCGUGAAAGCCCGGGGCUUAACCCCGGAAUUGCACCUAAAACUACUUGGCUAGAGCAUUGGAGAGGGGAGCAGAAUUCAUGGUGUAGCAGUGAAAUGCGUAGAUAUCAUGAGGAAUACCAGAGGCGAAGGCGGCUCCCUGGACAAUUGCUGACACUCAGGCACGAAAGCGUGGGGAGCAAACAGG